rnacentral:rRNA from 1 species
AGUGAACGCUGGCGGUAGGCCUAACACAUGCAAGUCGAACGGCAGCACAGUAAGAGCUUGCUCUUACGGGUGGCGAGUGGCGGACGGGUGAGGAAUACAUCGGAAUCUACUUUUUCGUGGGGGAUAACGUAGGGAAACUUACGCUAAUACCGCAUACGACCUACGGGUGAAAGCAGAGGAUCUUCGGACCUUGCGCGAUUGAAUGAGCCGAUGUCGGAUUAGCUAGUUGGCGGGGUAAAGGCCCACCAAGGCGACGAUCCGUAGCUGGUCUGAGAGGAUGAUCAGCCACACUGGAACUGAGACACGGUCCAGACUCCUACGGGAGGCAGCAGUGGGGAAUAUUGGACAAUGGGCGCAAGCAUGAUCCAGCCAUACCGCGUGGGUGAAGAAGGCCUUCGGGUUGUAAAGCCCUUUUGUUGGGAAAGAAAAGCAGCAGGUUAAUACCCCGCUGUUCUGACGGUACCCAAAGAAUAAGCACCGGCUAACUUCGU